rnacentral:lncRNA from 1 species
UUCAAAAUUUACAUGUCAGUUCACUUUACCUAUUAAUAUAUUAAUAUAUGAUAGUAGAGAAAGUGAAUGAACAGUGAUUUGUUUGUCUGGCUUCUUCUCAUUUACCUAUUUGGGCGGUCAUCCCCAUUCAGAUGCGUGUCUUUCACCUUUACAUCUUCAUUCUAAUCAGCUUCAAAAAGAGAGAACAAGGGCUGGCAGAAGCGGGACCGCCCCUGGUGGCGGAGUCGUGGCGGAGCCACGACGGUGGCCGGUUUCUUUAAAUGGUUAGGGUUUCAAACAUGAGACGUCGGAGAACAAGGCCUUCUGGUUUUGGGGGGUUUUCACUAUGGCCACUUAAUAAUGGUUAGGGUUUCAAACAUGAGACGUCGGUUGUUGAAGGCGUCCGUUCAUGAGCUCCUGUGGUGGCGGCAAUUGUUGAUUGUGCCUAUCUUUCGGUUUCCUUUGUUAGGGGUCGAUGAUAGCUAGGGUUUCCUAUGCUGAGACUCUAACCGACUUUGAUAGGUGGUGGUUACUUUUAUCUACGAUUUAUCGGUCACGAUGUGUUUCUUCAUCUGAGAUGUUCUUGAUUUGAAUAAUGAAACCCUAAGUCGCUUAUGUAUUAUUUUUGCUGGUUAGGGUUUCUGCAGAUCAUGUAGAUUGUAUACAUAUAAAUCUGUGAUUUAUAGAGCUCCUUUGAUGAUGGAGCUACAUGCAUUUGGUCUAUGAUUCUGUUUUUGGCGUUUGGGUUACUGAGUUAGGCGAUGAUGAUUGUGUGGGUGUAAACCGAGUUGGGGAUUUCACCGUGGCGUGGCAUGUUUGAGAGAUGGUAGAUGUUCACCUGCAACCUCCAAUGCAGCCACGGUUAUCUCCUUCAUUUACACCAUCUGAGCCGUAAUGCUCUUUUUAUAUUGGAACUGGUUGCGUUAUAUAUAUGUAUUAAUAGUCACGCAUUUAUCUACUGCUAAUUGGAUGCUUUUCUCUAAUUCUAAGGAUGGGUCAUUAGCUCAGAUUUAGGAAAAUUUUCUACCCUGCAAGACACCGCAUCAGCGGUUAUAAAUGCACGAUUAUACUUGUGGACCUGUUCGGGUUGGAACACAUUUUGGCCAGAGAUUGUUACAGGCAUGCUAAAGGGUGAGCGCAACAAACUUGGCAACCGUGUUGAAAAAGAAGCAGUUGAAGAUGGUUUCUUAGAUUACUAUAGCGGCUAACAAGUGUUUGGUUUUCAAAUCUGAGUCACCUUUAUGAAAUCCAUAAUUAUGAGGUAUACGAAAACGAAAUCUCCUGCCACUCAAGGAUCAAUGGUCAUAUAUAAUACAUUUUGAUUCUGAUUUGACGGUGUUAAUUUGACUUAGUUUGUGUUUUGACCCGCCGCAACACAUGGCGGAUUGUAUUCAGUGAAACACGUCUGUAAAAACGAAUCGGGUACGCCGCCGCAACGCGCAGCUGCUAAAAAUACUAGUUUGAAUAAAACAGAAACAAGGACCUUCAAAAUUCUCAUGUACAUUCACCAUUAAUGAACUUGUCAAGUUCGGUGUACAUAGAUCUAGAUUGAUCACUCGGAAAGAAGCAUUGAAAGCGGCAACAACUCUUCACAACUUUUUGUUGCAAUACGGGAAUACAUUGCCUCAACUCUUAAAUACAAUGGGGAGAUUUAGAUGAACUCAAUAUAGAUUUGAAGUUCAAAAAAAAAAAACAAGUGAAUAUAUAUUCAUUUUUUACUAUACAGUCCUAGAAUUUUGGAAUAUU